rnacentral:lncRNA from 1 species
UGAGAUAUGGUCGCUCUAUCUUCUUCUGCCUUAGCAUGUUGUUGCUUCCUUCUUAGGAUCCUUAGAGUCUCAAUGUCUAAGGACUCUACGGGCUUAUCGGUAGUGGAUCCUUGAGGUUCUUCUGUAGUUCUGGCAUUCACCUUCCUUUUCCCCUUGCUUUUUCUGAUUAAAGAAAUGGGUUCUUCCUGGUUAGCUUCUUCUUCUUCUUCUUCUUCAGUUUCUUUGACAACUAACAUGUUUCCUGGCACUCCUGAUUCCUUUAUUUCACCAGUUCUUCCACUGGAUUCAGACAUCAUCCUCACAUUUUUAGCUGGAUUCCUUUUCCAGUUCUCAAAUAGUUGUUGGGUCAUUCAACGAUUUGGAUUGAUGGCUUCACCUUCAUCAUCCUCAAUUAAGUCACCAAGAGAAGCCUGUAGGAUAAUGCUUAUGAAUCGCC